rnacentral:tRNA from 1 species
AGGAUUAUAGUUUAAUUAAUAAAACAUUUGAUUUGCACUCAAAUAAUAUUGAAUUUUUCAAUUUAUCUU